GCAGAUAGCCGAUGUUUUCAAUAGUACGAAAGACCUAAUGACUUUUAGUUGUGAGACUAAGAUUGGACCAAUUGAAAGCUUGAAGAAUUAUUUCCAGAAACGUUGUGCAACCAAAUUCCAGACAGAUGAAUUUCUAGAUAAGGAGGAGCUUGAGAUUUCACAAGGUAUGCUUGCUGACACCACUACCUUCUUAUCUUUUUCAGGUGGUCUUAGCAGCAAUGAAAAUGAUAACUCAAACAUUAGCAAAGCUGUGCUUUUGACUACCUCUGAAAAGGUAGGCAUUGACACAUCUUGGUGAUUACUGCAAAU
rnacentral:misc_RNA from 1 species